rnacentral:rRNA from 1 species
UACGUAGGUGGCAAGCGUUGUCCGGAAUUACUGGGUGUAAAGCGCGUGUAGGCGGGAGGCCAAGUCUGCUGUGAAAUCGCCCGGCUCAACUGGGCGGGGUCGGUGGAAACUGGUCACCUGGAGGACGGUAGAGGCGAGUGGAAUUCCCGGUGUAGUGGUGAAAUGCGUAGAGAUCGGGAGGAACACCAGUGGCGAAGGCGGCUCGCUGGGCCGGACCUGACGCUGAGACGCGAAGGCGUGGGAGGCGA